rnacentral:ncRNA from 1 species
UAGAUAGAGGCGCGGUGUUCAUCAGUACCGUCCGGCAAGGCCAGGCAGCCGUCGGCGGAAAAGGGAUCAUCGCCGAAGGAAUGAAGGGAUGCCUGUCUCUCCGUUCCUGGGCCGCCCGAUAAGAUCGUGCGGACUGUCACAAGACUUUGUGGAGCGCUAUCG